rnacentral:tRNA from 1 species
GGGGAAGUGGCUCAGUGGUAGAGUGCUUGCCUUGCAUGCAUGAGGCCCUGGGUUCGAUUCCUCAGCACCA